rnacentral:rRNA from 1 species
UACGUAGGGUGCGAGCGUUGUCCGGAAUUAUUGGGCGUAAAGGGCUCGUAGGCGGUCUGUCACGUCGAAAGUGAAAACUCAGGGCUUAACCCUGAGCCUGCUUCCGAUACGGGCAGACUAGAGGUAUGCAGGGGAGAAUGGAAUUCCUGGUGUAGCGGUGAAAUGCGCAGAUAUCAGGAGGAACACCGGUGGCGAAGGCGGUUCUCUGGGCAUUACCUGACGCUGAGGAGCGAAAGUGUGGGGAGCGAACAGG